CAACCCUUAUCCUUGUUUGCCAGCGAGUAAUGUCGGGAACUCCAGGGAGACUGCCGGUGAUAAACCGGAGGAAGGUGGGGACGACGUCAAGUCAUCAUGGCCCUUACGAGUAGGGCUACACACGUGCUACAAUGGCGCAUACAGAGGGCGGCCAACUUGCGAAAGUGAGCGAAUCCCAAAAAGUGCGUCGUAGUCCGGAUUGGAGUCUGCAACUCGACUCCAUGAAGUCGGAAUCGCUAGUAAUCGUGGAUCAGAAUGCCACGGUGAAUACGUUCCCGGGCCUUGUACACACCGCCCGUCACACCAUGGGAGUGGGCUGCAAAAGAAGUGGGUAGUUUAACCUUCGGGAGGACGCUCACCACUUUGUGGUUCAUGACUGGGGUGAAGUCGUAACAAGGUAGCGCUAGGGGAACCUGGCGCUGGAUCACCUCCUUAUACGAUGAU
rnacentral:rRNA from 1 species